UACGAAGGGGGCUAGCGUUGCUCGGAAUCACUGGGCGUAAAGCGCACGUAGGCGGACUCUUAAGUCAGGGGUGAAAUCCUGGAGCUCAACUCCAGAACUGCCUUUGAUACUGGGAGUCUUGAGUUCGGGGAGAGGUGAGUGGAACUGCGAGUGUAGAGGUGAAAUUCGUAGAUAUCUGGAGGAACACCGGUGGCGAAGGCGGCAUUCUGGACCGAUAUUGACGCUGAGGAGCGAAAGCCAGGGGAGCAAACGGG
rnacentral:rRNA from 1 species